rnacentral:ncRNA from 1 species
AGUAUGGUUGCAAUGCUGAAACUUAAAGGAAUUGGCGGAAGGGCACCAGGAGUGGACUCUGCGGCUUAAUUUGACUCAAUACGGGGAAACUUACUAGGUCCGAACAUAAGCGUGUAGGACAUAUAGAUAGCUCUUUCGCGAAUCUAUGGUGGUUCAUGGCCCUUCUUAGUUCAUGGAGUGAUAUGUCUGGUUAAUUACGAUAACCAAGGAGAUUCAAAAAUGUAAAAUAGAUGCUUUUAGGAUUAUGGCGUUGAAGCUUUCAUUUAAGAGCGCAGUAAAAUAUGUGAGUGUUUGAAUGUGUUCAUAAAAGUAGAGCCGUACCUGUUGGUUUGUCCUUUUAUAGUACACUAGCUUCUUAAAUACACAAAUUGCGUCUAGGAAUAAUGAGAUUGAGCAGUAACAGGUCGGUAAUGCCUUUAGAUGUCCUGGGAGGCACGCGCGCUACAAUGGAAGUAUCACCGCGAAUUUCCUAGACCGAGAGGUCCGGGUAAACCGCUGAACCACUUUCAUGCUUGGGAUGGUGAACUGAAACUGUGCAGUUGAACUUGGAACUCCCAGUAAGUGUGAAUCAUUAACUCGCAUUGAUUACCACCCUGCUCUUUGUACAACCGCCCGUCGCUACUACCGAUUGAAUUAUUUAGUGAGGUCUCCGGACGUGAUCACUGUAACGCAUUUUAUGUAUUGCGGAUGUUUCGAAAAAGUUGACCGAACUUGAUUAUUUAGAGGAAGUAAAACUCGUAACAAGGUUUCCGUAGGUGAACUUGCGGAAG